AUUAGGGUCCAUUGAAGAACCUAGUUUCAACAAGAUAAUUAAAGAAGGCUUCUCUGAGAAGGUGAACUUAAAAUAACCUGCAGUUUGAGAAGAUGCUUGACAUUGGAGGAGAAGAGUGGCAAAGAAGUAGUGGCAAGGGAGAGCCUCCCUGACCAAGGAGCAGUGAGUGCAAAGUUCCUAGGAGGCAAGUACUUCCCAUAUUCAGGGAGUUGAAGCAAACCGUGUGGCAAAAACUUAAAAAGAGUUUUCUCUACUCUUAAAAAGUAGAGAAUGGAAUGAAAUAUAGAAAAAUAGAGACUAGAAUGAGAUAAAGUUGGAAGAGUAAGCAGGCAGGCAUCAAAUCAUUCAAAACCUUGUAGGCCAAGUUAAAGAAUUUGUAUUGUAGAAUAAAUGCAAAGGAAGCUAUAAAUAGCGUUUAAACAAUAGUGACAUGAUACAAUUUACAUUUUAAAAAGGCCACCCUGUGCAUCAAUCUGAUAUUGUGUCUCUUGAUGGGAUGUGGUAUGAAGUAUACAAUAUCAUCUAUGAGAUGUUCCAGGCAAGAAUGUUUAACUUGAAUCUAUCAAACCUUUUCAUUUAACACACAACAUAUAAGAAAUCCAGAGGAUAGAGGAACAACUAAAUGAUACCAUAGGAAGUAACCAAACAUCCAGAAGGUGGAACAUUCUGCAGGAUAACUGACCCCCUCUGGUCAACAAUUUAUUGUUAUGAAAAAAGCCACUGCUCUGUGAAAAGACAUUUAAAGGACUUAAGAGCCUGCACUGAAUCCUGGUUUGAACAGACCACCUAUAAAAUGCAUUUUCAGGAGAACUGAAGAAAUUUGAAUAUAGAUGGACUGAGUAUAAGAUG